rnacentral:rRNA from 1 species
UAUGCUUAGGGCUACACACGUGCUACAAUGGGUAGUACAGAGGGUUGCCAAGCCGUAAGGCGGAGCUAAUCCCUUAAAGCUACUCUCAGUUCGGAUUGUAGGCUGAAACUCGCCUACAUGAAGCUGGAGUUACUAGUAAUCGCAGAUCAGAAUGCUGCGGUGAAUGCGUUCCCGGGUCUUGUACACACCGCCCGUCACACCACGGGAGUUGGAGACGCCCAAAGCCGAUUAUCUAAUCUUUUGGAAGAAGUCGUCGAAGGUGGAAUCAAUAACUGGGGUGAAGUCGUAACAAGGUAGCCGUAUCGGAAGGUGCGGCUGGAUCACCUCCUUUCUAAGGAGA